rnacentral:rRNA from 1 species
UGGGGAAUUUUCCGCAAUGGGCGAAAGCCUGACGGAGCAAGACCGCGUGAGGGAGGAAGGCCUACUGGUUGUAAACCUCUUUUGAUAGGGAAGAAGAAAGUGACGGUACCUAUCGAAUCAGCAUCGGCUAACUCCGUGCCAGCAGCCGCGGUAAUACGGAGGAUGCAAGCGUUAUCCGGAAUUAUUGGGCGUAAAGCGUCCGUAGGUGGUUAUUCAAGUCAGCUGUCAAAGGAUGGAGCUUAACUCCAUAAAGGCAGUUGAAACUGUGUAGCUAGAGUGCGAUAGGGGCAAGGGGAAUUCCCAGUGUAGCGGUGAAAUGCGUAGAUAUUGGGAAGAACAUCGGUGGCGAAAGCGCCUUGCUGGGUCUGCACUGACACUGAGGGACGAAAGCUAGGGGAGCGAAAGGGAUUAGAUACCCCUGUAGUCUUAGCUGUAAACGAUGGAUACUAGGCGUUGUCCGUAUCGACCCGGGCAGUGCCGUAGCUAACGCGUUAAGUAUCCCGCCU